GACGAACGCUGGCGGCGUGCCUAAUACAUGCAAGUCGAACGCAGCGGCGGACGGGUGAGUAAUGCCUAGGAAUCUGCCUGGUAGUGGGGGAUAACGUCCGGAAACGGGCGAUAAUACCGCAUACUAUCAGAUGAGCCUAGGUCGGAUUAGCUUGUUGGUGGGGUAACGGCUCACCAAGGCGACGAUCCCUAGCUGGUCUGAGAGGAUGAACAGCCACACUGGAACUGAGACACGGUCCAGACUCCUACGGGAGGCAGCAGGGGGGAAUAUUGCACAAUGGGCGCAAGCCUGAUGCAGCCAUGCCGCGUGUAUGAAGAAGGCCUUCGGGUUGUAAAGUACUUUCAGCGGGGAGGCGUUACCCACAGAAUAAGCACCGGCUAACUUCGUGCCAGCAGCCGCGGUAAUAC
rnacentral:rRNA from 1 species